rnacentral:rRNA from 1 species
AUUGAACGCUGGCGGCAUGCCUUACACAUGCAAGUCGAACGGUAACAGGUCUUCGGAUGCUGACGAGUGGCGAACGGGUGAGUAAUACAUCGGAACGUGCCCGAUCGUGGGGGAUAACGGAGCGAAAGCUUUGCUAAUACCGCAUACGAUCUACGGAUGACAGCAGGGGACCGCAAGGCCUUGCGCGGACGGAGCGGCCGAUGGCAGAUUAGGUAGUUGGUGGGAUAAAAGCUUACCAAGCCGACGAUCUGUAGCUGGUCUGAGAGGACGACCAGCCACACUGAGACUGAGACACGGCCCAGACUCCUACGGGAGGCAGCAGUGGGGAAUUUUGGACAAUGGGCGAAAGCCUGAUCCAGCCAUGCCGCGUGCAGGAUGAAGGCCUUCGGGUUGUAAACUGCUUUUGUACGGAACGAAAAGACUCUUUCUAAUAAAGAGGGUCCAUGACGGUACCGUAAGAAUAAGCACCGGCUAACUACGUG